rfam:Verticillium albo-atrum VaMs.102 supercont1.1 genomic scaffold, whole genome shotgun sequence.
GGGGUCGUGGCGCAGUGGUAGCGCGUCUGUUUUGCAUUCAAUCGAAUUUACAGAAGGUCCCGUGUUCAAUCCGCGGCGGCUCCA